AAUUUUAAAUCAUAUACUAAAAUUGGAACAAUACAGAGAAGAUUAGCAAGGUCCCUGUGUAAGGAAUCAAAUAGAAUUAAAACCUUAAU
ensembl:snRNA U6 U6 spliceosomal RNA